rnacentral:rRNA from 1 species
AGCGUCAUCCUACGGGGGCAGCAGUAGGGAAUUUUCGUCAAUGGCGCAAGCCUGAACGAGCGAUGCCGCGUGAGUGAAGAAGGCCUUCGGGUCGUAAAGCUCUGUUGCGGGGGAAAAAAGGACAGCAUCAGGAAAUGGGUGCUGACUGAUGGUGCCCCGCCAGAAAGUCACGGCUAACUACGUGCC